rnacentral:rRNA from 1 species
UGGUUUAAUUCGAAGCAACGCGCAGAACCUUACCAUCCCUUGACAUGGCAUGUUACCUCGAGAGAUCGGGGAUCCUCUUCGGAGGCGUGCACACAGGUGCUGCAUGGCUGUCGUCAGCUCGUGUCGUGAGAUGUUGGGUUAAGUCCCGCAACGAGCGCAACCCACGUCCUUAGUUGCCAUCAUUCAGUUGGGCACUCUAGGGAGACUGCCGGUGAUAAGCCGCGAGGAAGGUGUGGAUGACGUCAAGUCCUCAUGGCCCUUACGGGAUGGGCUACACACGUGCUACAAUGGCGGUGACAGUGGGACGCGAAGCCGCGAGGUGGAGCAAAUCCCCAAAAACCGUCUCAGUUCGGAUUGCACUCUGCAACUCGGGUGCAUGAAGGCGGAAUCGCUAGUAAUCGUGGAUCAGCACGCCACGGUGAAUACGUUCCCGGGCCUUGUACACACCGCCCGUCACACCAUGGGAGUUGGUCUU